AACUGCCACCAGAGGUCCACAACGUAGUGCGCGGCGGCGCGGCGGCUCGCGGCUGCAUCUCGAAACGGUCCCUCGGGUCGGGACGCGCGCCCCAGAUGCGUGCGUAAAAUUCGAGGCUUCCGAGACGGCUGGGAGGAAAGAACGUUCCGAACGGUCACGGUCAUCGCGAAGUCCAAGAUAAGCCAAGCCCAAUGCAACCCAGGGGCGCUUAAAGGGUACAACGCCCAGAAUUGCACAGCAAAAAGCUCACAAAAAUAAACGUAUCCAUGAUAGCUAAGGUGCAACCGCAACUAACGCCCAGAAUGCUGAAGCAGCUUCGCAUGGCUACAGUCUCAUUUACGCUGUUGGCAAGUUUGGCUGAUUGAAUAUAAUAAAUGAUACAAACGUC